CUUUCAUGAUGUGGACAUUUCCGUAGUAAGUCAUUCAAUCUCUCCCAUGCUUCAUGGAGGGGUUCUCCUUCAUCGGAUGAAAAUUCACGGAUUAGAGUUCUCAUUG